GGGCCCGCACAAGCGGUGGAGUAUGUGGUUUAAUUCGAUGCAACGCGAAGAACCUUACCAGGGUUUGACAUCCUGCGAAUCUCUUGGAAACGAGAGAGUGCCUUCGGGAACGCAGUGACAGGUGGUGCAUGGCUGUCGUCAGCUCGUGUCGUGAGAUGUUGGGUUAAGUCCUGCAACGAGCGCAACCCACGUCUUUAGUUGCCAGCAUUUAGUUGGGCACUCUAGAGAGACUGCCGGUGAUAAACCGGAGGAAGGUGUGGAUGACGUCAAGUCCUCAUGGCCCUUACGUGUUGGGCUACACACGUGCUACAAUGGUAUCUACAACAGGAAGCAAAACUGCGAGGUUAAGCAAAUCCUUAAAAGAUACCUCAGUUCGGAUUGCACUCUGCAACUCGAGUGCAUGAAGCUGGAAUUACUAGUAAUCG
rnacentral:rRNA from 1 species